rnacentral:rRNA from 1 species
UACGUAGGGUGCGAGCGUUAAUCGGAAUUACUGGGCGUAAAGCGUGCGCAGGCGGUUUUGUAAGCCAGAUGUGAAAUCCCCGGGCUUAACCUGGGAAUGGCAUUUGGGGCUGCAAGGCUGGAGUUUGGCAGAGGAGACUGGAAUUCCCGGUGUAGCAGUGAAAUGCGUAGAUAUCGGGAGGAAUACCGAUGGCGAAGGCAGGUCUCUGGGCUAUAACUGACGCUCAUGCACGAAAGCGUGGGGAGCAAACAGG